rnacentral:lncRNA from 1 species
GAAGGUCCAUGUGUAGGUGAAUUUAUUUGGAUGCCCCGUGCUGCAAUGUCUAGCGUGACUUGGUGCUGAGUAAUCCUGUUCAUUCCAAAAAUUAUAUCCACGCCUUCCAGUCCCAAAAUAAUAAGGUCGGUUUGGAAAACUUUUCUAUCCAACUUGAGUGGCACACGACGUGUUAUUUGGUCGGAAGCAAUUUUACCACCAGGUGUUGAAAUCAUGUAAGUCCCUUUUGUGUGACAGAAUCCAAUCCACAUUUAGCACUGAAUUUUGUCCCAAUAAAGCUAUGCAAUGCACCAGAAUCAAAU